UAAAACAUUCGGAAAACCCCGACUAUGAAUAGGCCUCACGUAAUGCUGCCGUGUCGAGUAUAUAAAGGCCAUUACCGUACGUAAAUCCCCCACUCUCCUGCCAACUUGAGGAAAACGAGUUGAUCUGCGUUCAGUCCAGGCUCCGAAGAAAACGAGUUCGAGAACAGCGAUGUCUGACCCCAAGGCAAACAUGGACAACAAGUCCGACCAAUGCAACCCCAACAACCCCAAGUUCGAGGGGCAUGAGAAGGGCUACAGUGGAACUGGGACCAAACCUGACCUGGACAACCACGGCAACCAGCUCAAUCCCAACAACGAGCGUUUUCAGCCCAAGAAGUCGUAAAGGACACGGCGGAAAACUCGCCUCCAGCUGGCUUCACUUCGCAUUGCUUCACGCGCCGGAUGACAUUACGUUAUUCAAUCUUUACAACAGCCAUUUGAUGCAAGGAGAGAUGUAGAAGUUGACAAUGUAAAGCAGCAUGCAUGGCUUGUUAUAAGAAAUAUUGCACAUUGCAAAUGCUACAGUACUAGUACUAUUAAUCUGCUCAAUGUAAUAUCCUCAAACAUUGGCACCAGCCAUUGGCAGCAUGCAUGUACACUGGUUAUCAUCUUGAAUAUUACACAAAUCUGCAUUCUUGUGUUAUAUCCAAUGCCUACUUGAGCAACGUACCAUAGCACAUUGUACUGUGUAAUUUUCCCACUCCCCCACCCGUUUUCACAAUUAAGCAUUACACAGCCCUGAAUACCAAUCAGUCGCGAUAGGGAAUACAAGUGAACAUAACAUAAUCGACAAAACUAAAUAGUGUAAUGAAGCAUGCACUGUUUUUACAAAGAUCAUAAAACCUGGAUAUGGAGGUAAAGGAUAUACAUGUCAGAGCAUGGCACAUUUCCACCCGAGCUAACAAUUUCUGCAUAUUUCGGUAGAUUUGGUGUGAUUUGCCUUUGAUGGUGAAUGCAAUAAAGCUGGCUUGAGCAACGUCC